CUUUUAAGAAAUGUGAUUCUGUCAGCCUAAGUAUCUGAGAGUUUUUUCACUUUGUAAAUUAUCUAUUUUAUAGACGGCUCACGCAAAUAUGCAAAGCGCUUAUUUUGCAAAUCUUUGUAUAUAUCAUUCAUGAAUAGACAAUUGUAUUUAUUUUGAGCUUUUAGAGUGAUAACAUCAAGUUUUGAUUUGUAGUAUUGAAAUAUUUUAUCAAUUUUUAUUAGUAAAAUGGCUAAAGUGAGUUCUGUGUUAGUAGGCAUUAAGAAAUACAAAGAACUACGUAUGGAUAUGGGAAAAGGGUACUGUUCGGUGUGAAUUACAAUUGCAAACAUAAUGUUACUUCUACUGAUGAGUUUAUUAAUAAUCAGGUCCAUCAACGAUUUUAAAAGCUUCUUUGACAGCAGCAUGGAGUUCUGGUACUGUAUUGACAAAAAAUCCGGUUCUUCCAAAUAAGUUCAUCAUGUUAUCAUAUCGAGUCACACUUGUAAGACAACCAGGUGGUGAACUAACAAAAAAAAUACAAAAUUACAACACAUAUUUGAAAAACAGACUGUUAGUUAAAACUACUUACACUUUGGCAAUAUCUUCGAUGCCUACACUACUUCUAAUUUCAUUCAAUACACUAGAUUCCAUUCCGGAAUAGAUACCGGAAUUGUUGACAAUAACGAUUAUUAUUGGUAGUUUAUAUCUAACCAUGGUUUCAAUUUCCAUACCCGAAAAACCAAAAGCUGAGUCUCCUUCUACGCAUACAACUCUCUUAUUCGGAUGGUUGUGUCUACAAUAAAAUGCUGCAGCUAUAGCAAACCCAGGACCUACCUAAUGAACAUAUAUAACAAACAUAUCAACAUGAAUAUAUAUUUUUGAUGCUAAAUCGCCUUGGUUUUAGGUCCUUUAUGAUUGAAAAUUCAAAAUUAAAACAGUUAAAAAAAAUUGAUGACCAAAAAAGGUGGAAACGUUAAUUUUUUACCUGUUUUAAAAACUGAUUAAAAAAAUAUUAGCAAUUCAAAAAACGUUUGUCUGUGCCAUCUAUUUAGGUAAAAAAAAAUUAUUUUCAAUCAGAGAUCUAAAAUCAAGAAAGUUGAGCAACUAAAACAUCUAACAAAUAAAUUAAAUAUCUUCAUAAAUAAAUAUUUUCUUGUGAAUUGAAGAUUUAUGUAUAAAAAAAAUAAUUAUCAAUUUAAAUUAUUUAUGGUUGCAUUGCAAUUUAUUGAAUAUAAAUAUUUUUCUCAAAUCGUUUAGAUCUUUUUUAUCUUCUUAUAGAUUUCUGAUUUUUAUAUAUAGACAUUUCCAAAAAUUUUGUUUUUUUAAAUUUUUUAUACUUUUAUGCUUUGAUGUAAUUUAUUUUGUUUCAAAAUAAAUAACUGCCAUAAACCAAAA